UUACAGAAUACGGACGAUCUUGUAAAGACAUAGGUUGCCCCAGUAAUCAAAAAUGUGUUAUGGAGACCGAUCCAUGCAGCUAUUACCAAAGACAAGGGGAAUGUGGAUCGUAUCCAACCUGUAAGAUGGACACACAUUCGGCUGCCAGAACUUGUGCGACUUACGUGUGUCCCCCUA